rnacentral:misc_RNA from 1 species
AAUGUCGUAACAAGGUUUUCCGUAGGUGAACCUGCGGAAGGAUCAUUACAAGUGAGGCUACCGAACGCUGAAUGCAGGUUCGGUUAGGCAGCUUUACACCCCAACCCCGUUGUUUUGACAUUACUAUUGUUGCCUUUGGCGGGCCGUGGCCUCCACUGCGGGCUCUGCUCGUGUGUGCCCCGCCAGAGGCCAAAGCUCUGAAUUGUUAGUGAUGUCUGAGUCAUCUAAGUAGUUAAAAG